GCAGUUGCUUCAUGUGUAAGAACGCUGUCCCACAGAGGCUGGGGCCAUGGCUGCCACAUUCACUCUUUCAUCCCCAGAGUCCACAGCAGAUGAGACAAUCAACUUUCAUUGAAUGGACUACUGAGGGGCCUUGUCCUUGCUUCGUCACCCCCACUUCCCCUCCAUGUCAGAGCCAGGGAUAGUAACAGCCACAGCCCUCGUGAGCCCUCUCUGUGCGCCAGGUGUGCUGCAGGCAUAUCCAUGAACGAGCCCGGGGCUUGGUAAUGGAACUGAAGAAAUCUGAAUGAAUUGUCUGAUGCAUCGUGACUAAGCUUGGAAUGUGCCAACUGUCCCCCAGGAGUGGCCCUUGGACAGCAGAGCUGGAGCGCCGGGACUCUGAGUGCAGGAAGGAGGCCGUGCUCCAGGAGAGCCAUUGACAGAGCUGCUCUGGAGUUCUGGAAGUGCUUGGAGGGUGUGGGCGUUGUCACAUGAAUCUGUGGCACCAGCCUGUUGGCUUUCUGGUGAAGGGGUGGUGGCACAGUCUGCUGUCGUGCCUCUGGUGGUCCACACAACCUUCACACAACCUUCUUCAUUUCUGGUCAGCUUUGGAUACUCCCAAGCUUUGUCACUGAUCUCAUUUUGACUUACCAGGAAGCUCCACAUCUUGUUCUUUGUUAAUUUCAUGGAGGCUUGCAGGAUAACUCUCACUUUAUUUCCAUGAACGCUCCAUUUCAAGAAUGUUCAGGAAGACUUUCAUCACCUCUUUUGGGCCUCCACUUCCCUCCCACCUCCUUCCUACAUCUGUUCCUCUCUAGAGUGAAUGGUUUCAAUUUUAUCAACGUUUCUUCCUGUGGCUGUAUGUUUAGGUCCUUUCCCCAUGCUGAUCACCAAAUAUAAGAUUUAUUUAUAUCC